CCAUAUCGCUCAAAGAAAAGUUCAGGGAUUUUUUCCUUACCUGACUUUCAUCACUGUUUAAUGAACAAAUACUGCACUAUUAUUUAGGGGUUUAACAGUACACUAAUCCCCCAAGUAUUGUUUACGCGUUUAAGAUGCCAUCCAAACGCCCUUCAUCAUCUCCAGCUUGUGGAAAUGAACCCAAACGACAGAAAAAGGUUCUGACUCUGCAGAGGCUCUGGGAGUUUAAAGCAGCGUCAAUUAUUCACAGAUUUUCGUUAUUGGGGGGGCGGCUGUGGUUCACAUAGAGCUGUUCUGAAAGUGUCUGAGUCUCUGUUCACUGAGCUGAAGGCUGGCUGGCUUCUGCUGCUAUCAGGACAUAGAUUCUCAUCAUUUUGUGCUUUAAAUAAAAAGAUUUUUACUUUUUUUCACCAUAAGUGUUGUUUUCUUUUUCUUUUCUGAAAAAACUCAACAACCUUCAGGAUUUGUUCUGUGGUCCAGAGUUCCUGGGACAGCUAACAAAUCCUGUGUGCACACCUGUGUUAGGAAAAGUCAUUUCUGGAUGCUUCUUGUUGGUUUAGUCAUUAACCCUGUUUAACCAUUGAUAAAAACGUAUCGUUUAUAUUUAUUUAUUUAUAUUGUUAUAAAACGUGACUUGUAUUUGAAUAAAAACAGAAGUGCCUCAAGCUUCAGUCAGUGAGGCUACAGAACAUGGCGGCGUCACACAGCAGCUCCGAGAUCAUCUCUGUGUUAGGUUGGCAACCCAGUAAGAUAUACAACAUUUAUUCUAAAAUAGAAAUAUGCAACAUACUUAAUUGUGAGGUAUCAUUUCAGUGAAAAAUUAGGACAUUUUAUUGUGUUACCGUUACAGCGCACAGCCUGGUGGAGCGCAUACAGGCGUAGCAGUCGGUGUCUGAAGCCUGAAGCCCUGGUUAUGUUCACCUGUUGGAGUAUUCACCCGAACCAUGAUUCUCAAACCCCCCCCCUCACCUGAAGGGAGCUCCGUCCCCCUUUUCCGGAGGCGGGAUAUCAUCCUAGAUAUUGUGGACGCCGCAGGACCUGCUGUGGUGUCCAUAUUUGUGUCUAAGAGGACGGGGAGGUCCUAGGGGUCCACAGGAGCCACAAAUAUCCAGGGAUUUCUUUUGGAGUCCCUGCAGAUGUUGUCCUCCAGUUCCUGGUAGGUUUGUCUCGUCAGCCACAGCCUUCUCUCAGCUGGAAAAUAUGUAACGUGAUGCCUUCAUGGUCAUUGCUGCUGGUUCGGUUGAAGACCAAAGACCAUUUACUGAUUUUUGUGUGGAUAUGCAGAUGAAAAUGUGUCAUGAACACAAAGCACAACAACGUCUUGUACUUUUUCCACAACAAUUGAAGAUGUUCAGUAGGGUUGUGCCGAUGGACGAUAUCAUCGUCCAUCGUGAUGGGUGACUGACAUCCCGAUGGAGAGACCACCAUCGUGAUGCCACGACCCUGCCACGUUGC